rnacentral:piRNA from 1 species
CCCACGUUGGGCGCUUCCUUUUU